GAAUCGCUAGUAAUCGCGGGUCAGCAUACCGCGGUGAAUGUGUUCCUGAGCCUUGUACACACCGCCCGUCAAGCCACGAAAGUGGGGGGCCGCCGAAGUCGCCGAACCAACCCGAAAGGGAGGCAAGCGCCGAAGCGGAACUCCGCGAUUGGGACUAAGUCGUAACAAGGUAGCCGUAGGGGAACCUGCGGCUGGAUCACCUCCUUU
rnacentral:ncRNA from 1 species